rnacentral:rRNA from 1 species
AGUGAACGCUGGCGGUAGGCCUAACACAUGCAAGUCGAACGGCAGCACAGUAAGAGCUUGCUCUUACGGGUGGCGAGUGGCGGACGGGUGAGGAAUACAUCGUAAUCUACUUUUUCGUGGGGGAUAACGUAGGGAAACUUACGCUAAUACCGCAUACGACCUACGGGGGAAAGCAUGGGAUCUUCGGACCUUGCGCGAUUGAAUGAGCCGAUGUUGGAUUAGUUAGUUGGCGGGGUAAAGGCCCACCAAGGCGACGAUCCGUAGCUGGUCUGAGAGGAUGAUAAGCAACACUGGAACUGAGACACGGUCCAGAGUCCUACGGGAGGCAGCAGUGGGGAAUAUUGGACAAUGGGCGCAAGCCUGAUCCAGCCAUACCGCGUGGGUGAAGAAGGCCUUCGGGUUGUAAAGCCCUUUUGUUGGGAAAGAAAAGCAGCAGGUUAAUACCCCGCUGUUCUGACGGUACCCAAAGAAUAAGCACCGGCUAACUUCGUG